rnacentral:tRNA from 1 species
GGCCUCCUCGGCGGCGGUGAGCGGCGGCAGUCGGGUGAAGGCCGGCAGCGGCUGCGGUUCGCGGCCGCGGGCGGCCU